AGCAGUGCCUGCCCAAGGCCUCCUGCUAGCAAGCUUGACAGUGUUUGAGGCUUGUGUUCUAAAUCGGACUGAAAAUGGAGCCGGCCAGGUACAGGAGGCUUCUCUUUAAAUACACAUGCUCGCUCCCACUCGUGAGCUUGAGCUCUCUCACUCUGUCUCUGCUCUCGGCUUCAUUCCCGUUUUAUUGUAGGCUUUAAGGAGUUUUAAGCUGAGUGUCACUGUAGACCCCAAAUACCAUCCCAAAAUUAUCGGGAGAAAAGGGGCAGUGAUCACACAGAUCCGAUUGGAACAUGAUGUGAACAUCCAAUUUCCUGAUAAGGACGAUGGGAAUCAGCCCCAGGACCAAAUCACCAUCACAGGGUAUGAGAAGAACACUGAAGCUGCCCGUGAUGCUAUCCUGAAAAUUGUGGGUGAGCUUGAGCAGAUGGUUUCUGAGGAUGUUCCCUUGGAUCACCGUGUGCAUGCCCGAAUCAUUGGUGCCAGAGGCAAAGCCAUCCGGAAAAUCAUGGAUGAGUUCAAGGUGGACAUUCGCUUCCCACAGAGCGGAGCUCCAGACCCUAACUGCGUCACUGUGACAGGACUCCCGGAGAAUGUGGAGGAAGCUAUCGACCAUAUCCUCAACCUAGAAGAGGAAUAUCUGGCUGAUGUGGUGGACAGUGAGGCGCUGCAAGUUUACAUGAAGCCCCCAGCACAUGAAGAGUCCAAGGCACCAUCCAAAGGCUUUGUGGUGCGAGAUGCUCCCUGGACCUCCAACAGCAGUGAGAAGGCUCCUGAUAUGAGCAGCUCUGAAGAAUUCCCCAGCUUUGGGGCUCAAGUGGCCCCCAAGACCCUCCCGUGGGGCCCCAAACGAUAAUGAUCAAAAAGAAACCUUUCCAGCCUGCUGCCCAAACCCAACCACACAAUGGUUUGUCUCAAUCUGACUCAGCAGCUGGACCCUCGUAAAUUGUUGAUGCUCCCCCUCCCCGAGGUCUCGCAGCAAAGCCUGGUGGGCUGGCCUUCUGUGGCUGCUUCCCCAGGCCUGGUCAGCACCCGCAGGCUCAGGGUCUGCUCCUGACGCUGUGCUCUGGGAAAGGCACGCCACUGCGUGAAACACUAAGCAAGGUAAUCGAGCAUUUCGUGAUCACAGACUCCAGCUUCCUGGUCCACCCAGCAUGUAGUCAGCACUCUGACCUUCACAGCAGAGCUCCACAGCGGCUAGGAGUUGACUUCCUGUGUCAUGACCUCAGGAAAUAAAUUUCCUUGACUUUAUAAAAGCCAAAACGUUUGCCCUCUUCCUUUCCCACCUCCCUCCUGCCCACCACCUGUCGCCCAGACCUUCCUCUGUUGAAAGCAGUCAGCUUCCUUUAGCUGUCAAAAUCUGCUUAGCACAGGCUUCAGGAUAGGAGGAAGGCAUGGUAUUGGACAACAAGAGGUCAGAUGCCCUGGUGAUAGUGGGCUGAGAGGUAGAGGGUGGCCUGGGUCCUCAGAUAGUGCUCACUGUGCCCACUUUGGGUUCUGAAAGCAUCAGGGGCAGCUUCAGCCUCAUGAUCCUAUAUAUCUUAGAGGCACAGCUGUGUGUAUGCUACUUGGGUUCCCUGUAACUGUCACAGUGGACUUGGGUGGCUUGAGACUUUGGGGAAAGGGGAGGUAGAGACUGGCUUUGGUGAUGGGGAGGGGGCUCGACCCUAAGUAACAGCUCAACUUUCCCACAACCUUUUGCCUCUGCCUGCCUUGCCCAGACACCUUGUGUUCAUUGCCUUCUUUCUACCUCAGCCAGUGUGGUAGUACUCUCACGUGGGUUAGUGCCACCCCAAGGCUCUUCUCUUGAUGUAGACAUUUCCGGUGAUUCUAGGCUUGCCAUUGAGUUGAGAGUGGAGGCCAGUGCUUUCCCUCAGGCCACAUGAUUCAGGGACUGGGCCAGAGCUGGGUGCUCAUUCCCAGCCAGCCUGACCAUGUAGGCUCUGGCAGGCAUAGCCUGGAUGCUUAUGCAGUCCUGAGGAACAGACUGAAGGGGCAGGUCUCAUCAAUAGAGGUGGUCAUUUAGCGUGGAUUAAAAAGGAAGAAUGAAAACAAAAGACCCCGUGCAGGGAGCACUGCUAGCUGAAGGAGAACUUUUCCUCAGGUACAAGAGUUAAUUUUUGGACCACUGGCCUCCAGCUAGCUUGGCUGCAGGCCAACCUCACCGAGAAGUGGUCCCAAGUUCAGAGGACCCCUGUUAGGCUGUGGAAACUGAGGACAGAUCUUUUAUCUCCAGGUCAUCUGAUAACUAGCAACAUGUCCAGUCCCAGAUUCUUGGGUUACUAGAAAAGCCAGCCUGUGCCCAUCUCAUGGCCUUCCCUGAGAACUGUCACUUCUACUAUGACACCUUUUCCCCAAGUCUUUCACUCCCCUAUUUAAUAACUCAGGCUUGGCUACCUGUCCCCUCUAAUCCUCAGUGGAUCCAGAAUGGCUUUCCCAAGUCUAGCUUCUGUCCCCUGUAGAUGACAGUCCCACAUGUACCCCUUAGAGGAACGGUUCCAAGAUGGGAAAGGAACACCUACUUGCUCAGUAGGCUGGCAGCUGGAGCAGGUGGGUGAGGCGGGGAGAGGGCUCCUGCCUUUACCUGCAGCUGGCUCUUCUCUCAUCUGCAUGAGAUUGGGGACACCUUGCUUCCCUCCUGCCCCUCCAGCCCCCUCUUCAUCUUCAUUGUCAUCCUACAACAUCCAGUCUCUCCCUUCACCAGAAGGUAAAGUUUAAAUUCUCACCACAGGAUCUUGCACAUCUCCUUUUAUUGCUAAGUCUGUAGAUGUUAGCCCUAUCCUAAGCUGUUCAGGGUCUCACUCCUUUUCUCUGAUUGUUAAUAAGGACUAUGAAAUUGACUGUACCCAGGUCACCUCUCUGCAGCCUCCAAGACAUUGAGGAGCCUAGGGCAGGGGUGGGGAGUGUCUUUUCCUCCUUGUUGAAUGUCUUCCAUGUCCUGUGUUUCCAUAGCUACAUCCGUCCCUUGGCCUUAACUUUGGAAUUUGGAGAUUAUAUGCAAACAUGUGUAAAGGCUCAUGAAUAUGGAUGACACUGGAAUUUUAUAAAUUCUAAAAUAAAACCCGAAACCAGACGCAGUGCAA
rnacentral:lncRNA from 1 species